AUACGGAGGAUGCAAGCGUUAUCCGGAUUUAUUGGGUUUAAAGGGUGCGCAGGCGGCCAUUUAAGUCAGCGGUUAAAUCGUGGGGCUCAACCCCAUUCUGCCGUUGAUACUGGGUGGCUUGAUUGCGGUAGAGGUUGGCGGAAUUCGUUGUGUAGCGGUGAAAUGCAUGGAUAUGACGAAGAACACCGAUUGCGUAGGCAGCUGACCAGACCGCAAAUGACGCUCAUGCACGAAAGUGCGGGGAUCGAACAGGAUUAGAUACCCUGGUAGUCCGCACAGUAAACGAUGAAUACUUGUUUUCGGCGAUAUAAUGUCGGAGGCAAAGCAAAAGCGAUAAGUAUUCCACCUGGGGAGUACGCCGGCAACGGUGAAACUCAAAUGAAUUGGCGGGG
rnacentral:rRNA from 1 species